rnacentral:rRNA from 1 species
GGAAUUGACGGGGCCGCACAAGCGGUGGAGCAUGUGGUUAAUUCGAAGCAACGCGAAGAACCUUACCAGGUCUUGACAUCCCUGACAACCCGAGAGAUCGGGCGUUCCCCUUCGGGGGACAGGGUGACAGGUGGUGCAUGGUUGUCGUCAGCUCGUGUCGUGAGAUGUUGGGUUAAGUCCCGCAACGAGCGCAACCCUCGACCUUAGUUGCCAGCAUUCAGUUGGGCACUCUAAGGUGACUGCCGGCUAAAAGUCGGAGGAAGGUGGGGAUGACGUCAAAUCAUCAUGCCCCUUAUGACCUGGGCUACACACGUGCUACAAUGGGCGGUACAAAGGGUCGCGAACCCGCGAGGGGGAGCCAAUCCCAAAAAGCCGCUCUCAGUUCGGAUUGCAGGCUGCAACUCGCCUGCAUGAAGCCGGAAUCGCUAGUAAUCGCGGAUCAGCAUGCCGCGGUGAAUACGUUCCCGGGCCUU